UACGAAGGGGGCUAGCGUUGUUCGGAUUUACUGGGCGUAAAGCGCACGUAGGCGGAUCGUUAAGUCGGGGGUGAAAUCCUGGGGCUCAACCCCAGAACUGCCUUCGAUACUGGCGAUCUAGAGUCCGGAAGAGGUGAGUGGAACUCCUAGUGUAGAGGUGAAAUUCGUAGAUAUUAGGAAGAACACCAGUGGCGAAGGCGGCUCACUGGCCCGGUACUGACGCUGAGGCGCGAAAGCGUGGGGAGCAAACAGG
rnacentral:rRNA from 1 species